UAGGGAAUCUUCCACAAUGGACGCAAGUCUGAUGGAGCAACGCCGCGUGAGUGAAGAAGGGUUUCGGCUCGUAAAGCUCUGUUGGUAGUGAAGAAAGAUAGAGGUAGUAACUGGCCUUUAUUUGACGGUAAUUACUUAGAAAGUCACGGCUAACUACGUGCCAGCAGCCGCGGUAAUACGUAGGUGGCAAGCGUUGUCCGGAUUUAUUGGGCGUAAAGCGAGUGCAGGCGGUUCAAUAAGUCUGAUGUGAAAGCCUUCGGCUCAACCGGAGGAUUGCAUCAGAAACUGUUGAACUUGAGUGUAGAAGAGGAGAGUGGAACUCCAUGUGUAGCGGUGGAAUGCGUAGAUAUAUGGAAGAACACCAGUGGCGAAGGCGGCUCUCUGGUCUGCAACUGACGCUGAGGCUCGAAAGCAUGGGUAGCGAACAGGAUUAGAUACCCUGGUAGUCCAUGCCGUAAACGAUGAGUGCUAGGUGUUGGAUCCUUUCCGGGAUUCAGUGCCGCAGCUAACGCAUUAAGCACUCCGCCUGGGGAGUACGACCGCAAGGUUG
rnacentral:rRNA from 1 species